rnacentral:rRNA from 1 species
AUUAUCAACUUUCGAUGGUAGGAUAGAGGCUACCAUGGUGGUAACGGGUAACGGGGUGUUAGGGCACGACACCGGAGAGGGAGCUGAGAAACGGCUACCACAUCCAAGGAUGGCAGCAGGCGCGCAAAUUACCCAAUCCCGACACGGGGAGGUAGUGACAAUAAAUAACAAUACGGGGUCCUUUAGGGUUUCGUAAUUGGAAUGAGUACAAUUUAAAUCUCUUAACGAGGAACAAUUGGAGGGCAAGUCUGGUGCCAGCAGCCGCGGUAAUUCCAGCUCCAAUAGCGUAUAUUAAAGUUGUUGCAGUUAAAAAGCUCGUAGUUGAAUUUCGGGAUCAGUACGCCGGUCGUGCCUUCGGUAUGCACUGGUGUCACUGGUUUCUCCCUUCUGAAGAACCAUCAUGCCAUUCAGUUGGUGUGGCGGGGAAUCAGGACUGUUACUUUGAAAAAAUUAGAGUGUUUAAAGCAGGCUCGCGCUUGAAUACAUUAGCAUGGAAUAAUGAAAUAGGACGUUUGACCCUAUUUUGUUGGUUUCUAGGAUCGACGUAAUGAUUAAUAGGGAUAGUUGGGGGCAUUAGUAUUCAAUUGUCAGAGGUGAAAUUCUUGGAUUUAUUGAAGACUAACUACUGCGAAAGCAUUUGCCAAGGAUGUUUUCAUUAAUCAAGAACGAAAGUUAGGGGAUCGAAGACGAUCAGAUACCGUCGUAGUCUUAACCAUAAACUAUGCCGACUAGGGAUCGGAUGAUGUUAAUUUUUUAAUGACUCAUUCGGCGCCUUACGGGAAACCAAAGUGUUUGGGUUC